CCCUAGAUGUUCUGGGCCGCACGCGUGCUACACUGAACGGUUCAAUGGGUAAGGUAGUGCGAAAGCAUGACCUAAUCUCGAAAUCCGUUCGUGCUGGGGAUAGAAGCUUGCAAUUAUCCUUCUUGAACGAGGAAUACCUUGUAAGCGUGAGUCAUCAUCUCACGCUGAAUACGUCCCUGCCCUUUGUACACACCGCCCGUCGCUCCUACCGAUUGAGUGUUCCGGUGAGGCUUUGGGAGAAUGGCCUCAACAUGAGUUUAUCGUGUUUUGCCGUUUGAACUUAGUCAAACCUUAUCACUUAGAGGAAGGAGAAGUCGUAACA
rnacentral:rRNA from 1 species